rnacentral:piRNA from 1 species
UGACAAAGGUAACGUUUAUGAAUGA